GGGUGGCACAAGUCAGAAUUUUAUUUUUCUUUCUCUCUCUAAGCCAAGUACUCCUCCUUCUCUCUUCUUUCUCUUGUAUAUUGUUCGAAGAUUUAAAUAAAAUAAGGCAGAUAACCGCCUUUAAUCACUAUUCCGGCCUUACAUCCAGCUAAGUUUAAGGCAUACAGGUCAUGAGAUGGAAAGUUGCAGAUUUGGGCUACAAAGGAUCAAAAAGGAGAAAAAAAGUGGAGCUGGAAGACCUAAAGCAGAAACAAGCCACAAUUACCGCGAUUGCAGUCAGUCAAGCUAGGUCAAAAUACCAUGAUGGCGAGGUUCUGACCGCGGUCGCGAUAGCUGCGAUCGUGGACAAGCUCCCGCAAUCGUGGCCUAGCGGAGAUACAACCUAGGGGUAGAUAUGUAAAUGCACACAGCUGUUUCCAAAUUCCCUUAAGAGGCUCAAACCCUAUCUCUUUAAAGAAAACUAAUUUUUGUGGAACUUUAUCCACCAUCUAGUUUCCACAUUUUAGAGGACAAUUACUCUUAUAAUUUUAGGGGUGAAGAAUACAUUAGAGCAGCUUCCAAGUAGAGGAUUGACAAUUUCAAUUGAAGAUUUGUUGAAGCUUAAAGCUUGCAAUUUGCAUUCUCCUUAUCUUUUAAUAAGUCAAA